UACGGAGGAUCCGAGCGUUAUCCGGAUUUAUUGGGUUUAAAGGGUGCGUAGGCGGAAUGGUAAGUCAGAGGUGAAAUACUGCAGCUCAACUGUAGGAUUGCCUUUGAUACUGUCAUUCUUGAGUACAGUUGAGGUAGGCGGAAUGUGGUGUGUAGCGGUGAAAUGCUUAGAUAUACCACAGAACACCGAUUGCGAAGGCAGCUUACUAAACUGUAACUGACGCUGAUGCACGAAAGCGUGGGUAUCAAACAGG
rnacentral:rRNA from 1 species